GAUGAACGCUAGCGGCAGGCCUAACACAUGCAAGUCGAACGGUAACAUGAGAGCUUGCUCUUGAUGACGAGUGGCGCACGGGUGCGUAACGCGUAUGCAACUUACCCCAAACUGGAGGAUAGCCUUUGGAAACGAAGAAUAAUACUCCAUAGUAUCUCGAGAAGGCAUCUUCUUGAUCUUAAAGCUUCGGUGGUUUGGGAUAGGCAUGCGUUCUAUUAGUUAGUUGGUGAGGUAACGGCUCACCAAGACCGCGAUAGGUAGGGGGCCUGAGAGGGUUGUCCCCCACACUGGUACUGAGACACGGACCAG
rnacentral:rRNA from 1 species